UUAAGUGAAUAAGGGCGCACGGUGGAUGCCUUGGCACUAGGAGCCGAUGAAGGACGGGACUAACACCGAUAUGCUUUGGGGAGCUGUAAGUAAGCUAUGAUCCAGAGAUUUCCGAAUGGGGGAACCCAAUAUCUUUUAUAGGAUAUUACUUUUCAGUGAAUACAUAGCUGAUUAGAGGUAGACGCAGAGAACUGAAACAUCUUAGUACCUGCAGGAAGAGAAAGAAAAUUCGAUUCCCUGAGUAGCGGCGAGCGAAACGGGAAGAGCCCAAACCAACAAGCUUGCUUGUUGGGGUUGUAGGACUCCGAUAUGGUAGUCUGUUAGUAUAGUUGAAGGAUUUGGAAAAUUCCGCUAAAGAGGGUGAAAGCCCCGUAGACGAAAUGCUGACAACACCUAGGAGGAUCCUGAGUACGGCGGAACACGAGAAAUUCCGUCGGAAUCCGCGGGGACCAUCCCGCAAGGCUAAAUACUCCCUAGUGACCGAUAGUGAACCAGUACCGUGAGGGAAAGGUGAAAAGCACCCCGGAAGGGGAGUGAAAUAGAUCCUGAAACCGUGUGCCUACAACAAGUCAAAGCUCGUUAAUGAGUGAUGGCGUGCCUUUUGUAGAAUGAACCGGCGAGUUACGAUUGCAUGCGAGGUUAAGUCGAAGAGACGGAGCCGCAGCGAAAGCGAGUCUGAAUAGGGCGAAUGAGUAUGUAGUCGUAGACCCGAAACCAUGUGAUCUACCCAUGUCCAGGUUGAAGGUGCGGUAAAACGCACUGGAGGACCGAACCCACGUACGUUGAAAAGUGCGGGGAUGAGGUGUGGGUAGCGGAGAAAUUCCAAACGAACUUGGAGAUAGCUGGUUCUCUCCGAAAUAGCUUUAGGGCUAGCCUCGGAAUUGAGAAUGAUGGAGGUAGAGCACUGUUUGGACUAGGGGCCCAUCUCGGGUUACCGAAUUCAGAUAAACUCCGAAUGCCAUUCAUUUAUAUCCGGGAGUCAGACUGCGAGUGAUAAGAUCCGUAGUCGAAAGGGAAACAGCCCAGACCACCAGCUAAGGUCCCAAAAUAUAUGUUAAGUGGAAAAGGAUGUGGGGUUGCACAGACAACUAGGAUGUUGGCUUAGAAGCAGCCACCAUUUAAAGAGUGCGUAAUAGCUCACUAGUCGAGUGACCCUGCGCCGAAAAUGUACCGGGGCUAAACAUAUUACCGAAGCUGUGGACUACACCAUUAGGUGUAGUGGUAGGAGAGCGUUCUAAGGGCGUUGAAGGUCGAUCGUGAGGACGGCUGGAGCGCUUAGAAGUGAGAAUGCCGGUAUGAGUAGCGAAAGACAGGUGAGAAUCCUGUCCACCGUAUGACUAAGGUUUCCUGGGAAAGGCUCGUCCGCCCAGGGUUAGUCGGGACCUAAGCCGAGGCCGAUAGGCGUAGGCGAUGGACAACAGGUUGAUAUUCCUGUACCAGUUGUUUUUGUUUGAGCAAUGGAGGGACGCAGUAGGCUAAGGAAUGCAUGCGAUUGGAAGUGCAUGUCCAAGCAAUGAGUCUUGAGUAGAGUUAAAUGCUUUACUCUCUAAGGACAAGUUGUGACGGGGAGCGAAAUAAUAGUAGCGAAGUUCCUGAUGUCACACUGCCAAGAAAAGCUUCUAGUGAGAAAACAACUGCCCGUACCGUAAACCGACACAGGUAGUCGAGGAGAGUAUCCUAAGGUGAGCGAGCGAACUCUCGUUAAGGAACUCGGCAAAAUGACCCCGUAACUUCGGGAGAAGGGGUGCUGACUUCGGUCAGCCGCAGUGAAUAGGCCCAAGCGACUGUUUAUCAAAAACACAGGUCUCUGCAAAAUCGUAAGAUGAAGUAUAGGGGCUGACGCCUGCCCGGUGCUGGAAGGUUAAGAGGAUGGGUUAGCUUCGGCGAAGCUCAGAAUUGAAGCCCCAGUAAACGGCGGCCGUAACUAUAACGGUCCUAAGGUAGCGAAAUUCCUUGUCGGGUAAGUUCCGACCCGCACGAAAGGCGUAACGAUUUGGGCACUGUCUCAACGAGAGACUCGGUGAAAUUUUAGUACCUGUGAAGAUGCAGGUUACCCGCGACAGGACGGAAAGACCCCAUGGAGCUUUACUGUAGUUUGAUAUUGAGUGUUUGUACCACAUGUACAGGAUAGGUAGGAGCCGAUGAGACCGGAACGCUAGUUUCGGAGGAGGCGCUGGUGGGAUACUACCCUUGUGUUAUGAACCCUCUAACCCGCACCACUAAUCGUGGUGGGAGACAGUGUCAGAUGGGCAGUUUGACUGGGGCGGUCGCCUCCUAAAAGGUAACGGAGGCGCCCAAAGGUUCCCUCAGAAUGGUUGGAAAUCAUUCGAAGAGUGUAAAGGCAGAAGGGAGCUUGACUGCGAGACCUACAAGUCGAGCAGGGACGAAAGUCGGGCUUAGUGAUCCGGUGGUUCCGCAUGGAAGGGCCAUCGCUCAACGGAUAAAAGCUACCCUGGGGAUAACAGGCUUAUCUCCCCCAAGAGUCCACAUCGACGGGGAGGUUUGGCACCUCGAUGUCGGCUCGUCGCAUCCUGGGGCUGUAGUCGGUCCCAAGGGUUGGGCUGUUCGCCCAUUAAAGCGGCACGCGAGCUGGGUUCAGAACGUCGUGAGACAGUUCGGUCCCUAUCCGUCGCGGGCGUUGGAAAUUUGAGAGGAGCUGUCCUUAGUACGAGAGGACCGGGAUGGACUUACCGCUGGUGUACCAGUUGUUCUGCCAAGGGCAUUGCUGGGUAGCUAUGUAGGGAAGGGAUAAACGCUGAAAGCAUCUAAGUGUGAAGCCCACCUCAAGAUGAGAUUUCCCAUUUCUUUAAGAAAGUAAGACCCCUGAGAGAUGAUCAGGUAGAUAGGUUGGAAGUGGAAGGCUAGUGAUAGUUGGAGCGGACCAAUACUAAUCGGUCGAGGACUUAACCAA
rnacentral:rRNA from 1 species